GUAAGAAACAGACUUUGUCCUAGUUUCAUGCACAGGAUUAGGAAUAGAACCUACCAGAAGGGAGCAAGUUCUUAAAGCUAAGAGGGUUGGAGAAGAGUCAUUGGUUUUUAGAUUAUUUGUAAGUCUAGUUUUGUGUUUCCCA